rnacentral:rRNA from 1 species
UGAAUACGAGACGCUAAGGCGUCGAAGUAGUGUAUGUCAUACUUCCAAGAAAAGCUUGCACUGUCAUAGAUAAAAAACGCCUGUACCAUAACCGACACAGGUGGGUAGGUAGAGUAUACUAAGGGGCGCGAGAUAACUCUCUCUAAGGAACUCGGCAAAAUAACUCCGUAACUUCGGGAGAAGGAGUGCCUUAUUCGUAAGGUUGCAAUAACAAGAUCCAAGCAACUGUUUAUCAAAAACACAGGUCUCCGCUAAGUCGUAAGACGAUGUAUGGGGGCUGACGCCUGCCCAGUGCCAGAAGGUUAAAGAAGUUGGUUAGCAAUUGCGAAGCUGAUAACUGAAGCCCUGGUGAACGGCGGCCGUAACAAUAACGGUCCUAAGGUAGCGAAAUUCCUUGUCGGGUAAGUUCCGACCCGCACGAAAGGCGUAAUGAUUUGGAUACUGUCUCGGAGAGGGGCUCGGUGAAAUAGACUUGUCUGUGAAGAUGCGGACUACCUGCACCAGGACAGAAAGACCCUAUGAAGCUUUACUGUAACUUGAAAUUGAAAUUGGACUUUAUUCGCGCAGUAUAGGUGGGAGGCGUUGAUUAUAAUCUUGUGGGAUUAUUGGAGCCAUCAGUGAGAUACCGCUCUUGUAAUGUUAGAUUUCUAACUUUGAAUCAUUAUCUGGUCAAAGAACAGUUUCAGGCGGGCAGUUUGACUGGGGCGGUCGCCUCCUAAACGGUAACGGAGGCGUACAAAGGUUUCCUCUGAACGGUUAGAAAUCGUAUCUAGAGUGUAAAGGCAUAAGGAAGCUUGACUGUGAGACCUACAAGUCGAGCAGGGACGAAAGUCGGUCUUAGUGAUCUGACGGUACUAAGUGGAAAGGCCGUCACUCAACGGAUAAAAGUUACUCUAAGGAUAACAGGCUGAUCUCCCCCAAGAGUUCACAUCGACGGGGAGGUUUGGCACCUUGAUGUCGGCUCAUCGCAUCCUGGGGCGGUAGUACGUCCCAAGGGUUGGGCUGUUCGCCCAUGAAAGCGGUACGCGAGCUGGGUUCAAAACGUCGUGAGACAGUUCGGUCCAUAUCCGGUGUAGGCGUUAGAAUAUUGAGAGGAGCCUUCUUUAGUACGAGAGGACCGAGAAGGACAUACCUCUGGUGUACCAGUUAUCGUGCCAACGGUAAACGCUGGGUAGCUAUGUAUGGAGUGGAUAACCGCUGAAAGCAUCUAAGUGGGAAGCCCACCUCAAGAUAAGUAUUCUCAUC